GACUUGACAUCUCCUGAAUUACUCUUAAUCGAGGAAGUCCCUUCGGGGACAGGAAGACAGGUGGUGCAUGGUUGUCGUCAGCUCGUGUCGUGAGAUGUUGGGUUAAGUCCCGCAACGAGCGCAACCCUUAUUGUUAGUUGCUACUAUUAAGUUAAGCACUCUAACGAGACUGCCGCGGUUAACGUGGAGGAAGGUGGGGAUGACGUCAAAUCAUCAUGCCCCUUAUGUCUAGGGCUACACACGUGCUACAAUGGCUGGUACAACGAGCAGCAAACCCGCGAGGGGGAGCAAAACUUGAAAGCCAGUCCCAGUUCGGAUUGUAGGCUGAAACUCGCCUACAUGAAGUUGGAGUUGCUAGUAAUCGCGAAUCAGCAUGUCGCGGUGAAUACGUUCCCGGGUCUUGUACACACCGCCCGUCACACCAUGAGAGCCGGUAACACCCGAAGCCCGUGAGGUAACCGUAAGGAGCCAGCGGUCGAAGGUGGGAUUGGUGAUUGGGGUGAAGUCGUAACUAGGUAGCCGUAGGAGAACCUGCGGCUGGAUCACCUCCUUUCUAGGGA
rnacentral:rRNA from 1 species